rnacentral:misc_RNA from 1 species
GUGAAUCAUCAAAUUUUUGAACGCAAAUUGCACUCUCUUCUGAGAGUAUGCCUGUUUGAGGGUCAGUAUUAAUAAAAAUCGGUGUGUUGCUUCUUUGUGGCUCUCCGGAGUUUGGGUCAUCUUAAUAUCCUUUAGGUUUUAAGAGGAUUAACAUUGACUUUUUUUUCGCAUUUUAGAUGUACAUAAAUCCUUUUUUUUAUUCUUCUGUCUUAAUUCUCUACAUCCUAUUAAUUGCAUCCAUAUCGUUUGG